rnacentral:rRNA from 1 species
UAGUUGGUGAGGUAAUGGCUCACCAAGGCAAUGACGCCUAACUGGUUUGAGAGGAUGAUCAGUCACACUGGAACUGAGACACGGUCCAGACUCCUACGGGAGGCAGCAGUGGGGAAUAUUGCACAAUGGAGGAAACUCUGAUGCAGCAACGCCGCGUGGAGGAUGACACUUUUCGGAGCGUAAACUCCUUUUAUAUAGGAAGAUAAUGACGGUACUAUAUGAAUAAGCACCGGCUAACUCCGUGCCAGCAGCCGCGGUAAUACGGAGGGUGCAAGCGUUACUCGGAAUCACUGGGCGUAAAGAGCGUGUAGGCGGGUUAAUAAGUUGGAAGUGAAAUCCUAUAGCUCAACUAUAGAACUGCUUUCAAAACUGUUAACCUAGAAUAUGGGAGAGGUAGAUGGAAUUUCUGGUGUAGGGGUAAAAUCCGUAGAGAUCAGAAGGAAUACCGAUUGCGAAGGCGAUCUACUGGAACAUUAUUGACGCUGAGACGCGAAAGCGUGGGGAGCAAACAGGAUUAGAUACCCUGGUAGUCCACGCCCUAAACGAUGUACACUAGUUGUUGCGAUGCUAGACAUUGCAGUAAUGCAGUUAACACAUUAAGUGUACCGCCUGGGGAGUACGGUCGCAAGAUUAAAACUCAAAGGAAUAGACGGGGACCCGCACAAGCGGUGGAGCAUGUGGUUUAAUUCGACGAUACGCGAAGAACCUUACCUGGACUUGACAUUUACAGAAUUUUUCAGAGAUGAAUUAGUGUCUGCUUGCAGAAACUGUAGGACAGGUGCUGCACGGCUGUCGUCAGCUCGUGUCGUGAGAUGUUGGGUUAAGUCCCGCAACGAGCGCAACCCACGUCGUUAGUUGCUAACAGUUCGGCUGAGAACUCUAACGAGACUGCCUGGGCAACCAGGAGGAAGGUGUGGACGACGUCAAGUCAUCAUGGCCCCUACGUCCAGGGCUACACACGUGCUACAAUGGGGCAUACAAAGAGCAGCGAUACCGCGAGGUGGAGCAAAUCUCAAAAAUGCCUCCCAGUUCGGAUAGUAGUCUGCAACUCGACUACUUGAAGUUGGAAUCGCUAGUAAUCGUAGAUCAGCAAUGCUACGGUGAAUACGUUCCCGGGUCUUGUACUCACCGCCCGUCACACCAUGGGAGUUGAACUCAUUCGAAGCGGGGAUGCUAAGAUAGCUACCCUCCACAGUGGAUUCAGCGACUGGGGUG